UGUACAAAAAUAAAAAGUCGCUGAGGUC
rnacentral:piRNA from 1 species